CCGAGAUUACCCGAAGCGCGAUUCGAAGCUUCGACACACAGGACACAUCACUAGGUAGAAGUUCACCAGGAUGUCUGAGGACAGGUGGUUCUUCCUCAGAGUCCUCAAGAAGAAGAGGCGCUGGUGAGCCUUCUUGACCAGCUUGGAGCAGUUAGUUGUCCAGGCUGCAACCCCCCAACACACACACAAGGCACAACCACCAGAGGGCGCUGCAUGAACCAUUGAACUAGUCACUAAUAUAACAGAGGAGAGAGCAGCUGGGAAGGAAAGUGAAUAGCCCAUCCUGUGUUUGUUGUGAAUGGUGUGCGUCACAUAAAAGACCAACACCACAUGACCCCUCUACGUCCUCCUACACUGUGCCAUAUCUCCCUGUACCAUCAAUCUGAGUGCAAGUAAACUUUACAUAAAUCUUUGAUCUGUAGCAGUGUGACUCUGCAGUGCUGUACUGUAUGUUUGUGAGUUUCCUCCCCAACAAACACAAUAAUGAGGAUGAAACAUUUGCACCAUCAAAUUCAAACUUUACUCAACUCGUUCUUCUUGCUUCCUCUACUUCCGUACUAUUGAUUCAUUAAUGUUGAAUUCUCUCACAGCUGCUUUCUUCCAUGUUCUGGGCUUGAUCUUGGGUUUUAUUUUAUGAUACUGGAUUUAUUUUCUACGGAGGUUUGAACUUUGAGGGUGUUUAAACAAGAGAGAAAAGUGUAAAAAUUCAUGUCUGUCUCAGAAAAGUGUAUAAACUGUGUAUUCAGCGGUUAUACAGCCCUAAAACAUCUAUGAUAAUUGUAAGAAAAAAAGCUGACUACUUUGCAGAUUUCACCUAUUUUUAUUUUUAGAACAUAACUCCCACGAUAAACAAGGGUCCACUGUAUCAGUAUGUUAAACAUUUACCCAAUAAACUUAAAUUGCAUGUAACUUAGUUAAAAUAUAUAGUUCAGUUAAGUAUUAUUCACACGUAUAUCAUACAAUUUUGCCACUUCCUGUAUGAGCACCUGUUGAUGCAUACUGCUUGUUAUAAAAUUGAAUAAUUUUCAUUAAUGUGCCAUGUUUGACCGCGUUGUGACCUAUUGAGAAAAGGCAAAGGGUUUUUCAAAGGUUGCCCCUCUGCAGAUGGCCCUUAGUGAGAGUCCUGACCAGCCCCUGGCAGGACCUUGGCCUGUACCUGACCCUGCACCUGCUGUUUCUCGCUGGAGGACAAGUGGAAAGUUACCCAGCAGCAGGGGCAGUUAACGGCCACCAUAGAGAGAGGAUCCACCAGGGCUGUUGUCCUUCUCUCCGUGUCUGU
ensembl:lncRNA